AGUGAACGCUGGCGGUAGGCCUAACACAUGCAAGUCGAACGGCAGCACAGUAAGAGCUUGCUCUUACGGGUGGCGAGUGGCGGACGGGUGAGGAAUACAUCGGAAUCUACUUUUUCGUGGGGGAUAACGUAGGGAAACUUACGCUAAUACCGCAUACGACCUACGGGUGAAAGCAGGGGAUCUUCGGACCUUGCGCGAUUGAAUUAGCCGAUGUCGGAUUAGCUAGUUGGCGGGGUAAAGGCCCACCAAGGCGACGAUCCGUAGCUGGUCUGAGAGGAUGAUCAGCCACACUGGAACUGAGACACGGUCCAGACUCCUACGGGAGGCAGCAGUGGGGAAUAUUGGACAAUGGGCGCAAGCCUGAUCCAGCCAUACCGCGUGGGUGAAGAAGGCCUUCGGGUUGUAAAGCCCUUUUGUUGGGAAAGAAAAGCAGCAGGUUAAUACGCCGCUGUUCUGACGGUACCCAAAGAAUAAGCACCGGCUAACUUCGUG
rnacentral:rRNA from 1 species